UACGUUCCCGGGCCUUGUACACACCGCCCGUCACGUCACGAAAGUCGGCAACACCCGAAGCCCGUGGCCCAACCCGUGAGGGGGGAGCGGUCGAAGGUGGGGCUGGCGAUUGGGACG
rnacentral:rRNA from 1 species